rnacentral:rRNA from 1 species
GUUGGGUUAAGUCCCGCAACGAGCGCAACCCCCGUCGCAUGUUGCCAGCAUUUAGUUGGGGACUCAUGCGAGACCGCCGGUGACAAACCGGAGGAAGGUGGGGAUGACGUCAAGUCAUCAUGCCCCUUAUGUCCAGGGCUACACACAUGCUACAUUGGCGCGUACAGAGGGUUGCGAUACCGCGAGGUGGAGCGAAUCCCUUCAAGCGCGUUUCGAUUCGGAUUGCCGGCUGACAACUGCCUGCCUGAAGGCGGAAUUGGUUAUUAUCGCGGAUCCGCAAUGCCGCGUGAUAUCUCAGCG